GUUUUUCUUUACAGAGAGCCCCUCCCUUUCAAAAGGCAUCUGCAUAGCAUCAUUUAAAUCCACACUGGAACAUAGGCCACAUUGAGGAUAAGCUGCAAUGAUGGAGAAUCUCUGGUGCUGGAAUUGGUGAAUAAUUGCUAUUAUUGCUCCCUGUUCCUGUGGAGCAAUUGUUGCCACUGUCAGGUUGUAAAGUGCACUUGAGACACUAUGGAUUACAAAAUGGAAGGAUAUUAAGGCCUCGCCUAAUGGCUAUGUACUUGGCACAAUUCACAGUCGUUUCCCUGGAGGAAGUGGGAGGAUUUCGGAAGGUACUUUGAAAUGAAAGGAGUUGGUGGGGAGGAAGAGACAAAUCUAAAUCAAGCUAUGCUAACAAUGGGAAGGAGCAGCACUUUACAACAGAGGCUUUGGAGUAAUAUUUUUCUGAGGUCAACAAUCUUUGCGAUAAAGAGCCAUGUGUGAAAAGAGCUGCAAUGUCAGUAGAAAGUGCUAAGAACGAUGCGUCCAUGUUUAGUGCUGACAGUUUCCUUCCUCAAGAUUGGAUUUACAGUCGUGAACAAAAACGUAAUUGAAAAGAUUUGGGGAGACUGAGGAUAAGAAAGUGAAAAGAAAGCAUUCAAACAGCCAUUUCAUAAACAAGUAACAGGGGCCUCGGGUAAACCUCUUUUUUUUCAUUACCGGGGGAGUAACAUAAGAUGCCUGAGCUCUGUCGUUUGUCAGCAAAAGACCAUGUUACGAACAAAAAUUCAGAUGGACAUUGUAGCUCACAUGUUUAAGCUGUCCACAGAAACGUCAUAUCUCCCAGAAGGCAUUGCACGAUGAAGCACCAAUGGCAUCACCUGCUGGUGAAAAAUUUCAGUAUUACAGUAUUUUUCAUAACAUAUUCAGCUAGGUCCUUCUUCGCAUUGUGAACUAUGUAACAUGUUGCAUUUUUAUUAAGUUCUUUUCCGUAUUUUGUAAAAUGAACAAUUAAUCUGUAUAAUAAGUGAAACAUAUUAUUGCUGAAAAGAGAGACAUGUUGCCAAAACUUUUGUCUUGCUCUCAUCAGGACAAACGCAAGAAUG